UGUGUAGACGGUUUACUAAGUCUGUUGUUAAAUACUCUGGCUUAACUAGAGAUCAGCAGUGGAAACCAGUAGACUAGAGGUUGGGAGAGAGAAGUGGAAUUCCCGGAGUAGCGGUAAAAUGCGUAGAUCUCGGGAGGAACACCGAUGGCGAAGGCAGCUUCUUGGCCCAUACCUGACGUUGAGACACGAAAGCGUGGGGAGCAAACA
rnacentral:rRNA from 1 species